rnacentral:rRNA from 1 species
GACGGAGCAACCCGCGUGAGUGAUGAAGGUUUUCGGAUUGUAAAGCUCUGUUGUUAGGGAAGAACAAGUNNNGUUCGAAUAGGGCGGUUCCUUGACGGUACCUAACCAGAAAGCCACGGCUAACUACGUGCCAGCAGCCGCGGUAAUACGUAGGUGGCAAGCGUUGUCCGGAAUUAUUGGGCGUAAAGGGCUCGCAGGCGGUUCCUUAAGUCUGAUGUGAAAGCCCCCGGCUCAACCGGGGAGGGUCAUUGGAAACUGGGGAACUNGAGUGCAGAAGAGGAGAGUGGAAUUCCACGUGUAGCGGUGAAAUGCGUAGAGAUGUGGAGGAACACCAGUGGCGAAGGCGACUCUCUGGUCUGUAACUGACGCUGAGGAGCGAAAGCGUGGGGAGCGAACAGGAUUAGAUACCCUGGUAGUCCACGCCGUAAACGAUGAGUGCUAAGUGUUAGGGGGUUUCCGCCCCUUAGUGCUGCAGCUAACGCAUUAAGCACUCCGCCUGGGGAGUACGGUCGCAAGACUGAAACUCAAAGGAAUUGACGGGGGCCCGCACAAGCGGUGGAGCAUGUGGUUUAAUUCGAAGCAACGCGAAGAACCUUACCAGGUCUUGACAUCCUCUGACAAUCCUAGAGAUAGGACGUCCCCUUCGGGGGCAGAGUGACAGGUGGUGCAUGGUUGUCGUCAGCUNGUGUCGUGAGAUGUUGGGUUAAGUCCCGCAACGAGCGCAACCCUUGAUCUUAGUUGCCAGCAUUCAGUUGGGCACUCUAAGGUGACUGCCGGUGACAAACCGGAGGAAGGUGGGGAUGACGUCAAAUCAUCAUGCCCCUUAUGACCUGGGCUACACACGUGCUACAAUGGACAGAACAAAGGGCAGCGAAACCGCGAGGUUAAGCCAAUCCCACAAAUCUGUUCUCAGUUCGGAUCGCAGUCUGCAACUCGACUGCGUGAAGCCGGAAUCGC